rnacentral:rRNA from 1 species
GACGAACGCUGGCGGCGUGCUUAACACAUGCAAGUCGAACGGAAAGGCCCCUUUGGGGGUACUCGAGUGGCGAACGGGUGAGUAACACGUGAGUAACCUGCCCUUGACUUCGGGAUAACUUCAGGAAACUGGGGCUAAUACCGGAUAGGAAUCCUUGCUGCAUGGUGGGGGUUGGAAAGCUUCGGCGGUUUUGGAUGGACUCGCGGCUUAUCAGCUUGUUGGUGGGGUAGUGGCUUACCAAGGUUUUGACGGGUAGCCGGCCUGUGAGGGCGACCGUCCACAUUAGGACUGAGAUUCGGCCCAGAUGACGACGGGGGGCAGAAGUGGGGAAUAUUGCACAAUGAACGGAAGCCUGAUGCAGCAACGCCGCGUGCGGGAUAACGGCCUUCGGGUUGUAGACCGUGGGCAGCAGGGGCGAAGCUUGUGGUGACGGUACCUGCAGAAGAAGCACCGGCUGACUACGUG